rnacentral:rRNA from 1 species
AGUGGCGAACGGGUGAGUAACACGUGAGUAACCUGCCCUUGACUCUGGGAUAAGCCUGGGAAACUGGGUCUAAUACCGGAUAUGACUGAUCAUCGCAUGGUGGUUGGUGGAAAGCUUUUGCGGUUUUGGAUGGACUCGCGGCCUAUCAGCUUGUUGGUGGGGUAAUGGCCUACCAAGGCGACGACGGGUAGCCGGCCUGAGAGGGUGACCGGCCACACUGGGACUGAGACACGGCCCAGACUCCUACGGGAGGCAGCAGUGGGGAAUAUUGCACAAUGGGCGGAAGCCUGAUGCAGCGACGCCGCGUGAGGGAUGACGGCCUUCGGGUUGUAAACCUCUUUCAGUAGGGAAGAAGCGUAAGUGACGGUACCUGCAGAAGAAGCGCCGGCUAACUACGUGCCAGCAGCCGCGGUAAUACGUAGGGCGCAAGCGUUAUCCGGAAUUAUUGGGCGUAAAGAGCUCGUAGGCGGUUUGUCGCGUCUGCCGUGAAAGUCCGGGGCUCAACUCCGGAUCUGCGGUGGGUACGGGCAGACUAGAGUGAUGUAGGGGAGACUGGAAUUCCUGGUGUAGCGGUGAAAUGCGCAGAUAUCAGGAGGAACACCGAUGGCGAAGGCAGGUCUCUGGGCAUUAACUGACGCUGAGGAGCGAAAGCAUGGGGAGCG